rnacentral:rRNA from 1 species
GUGCAGCAGUCGAGAAACCUCCGCAAUGCGGGAAACCGUGACGGGGUCACCCCGAGUGCCACCCGAUGAGGGUGGCUUUUCCCCGGUCUAAAAAGCCGGGGGCAAUAAGCGGGGGGCAAGUCUGGUGUCAGCCGCCGCGGUAAUACCAGCCCCGCGAGUGGUCGGGACGUUUAUUGGGCCUAAAGCGUCCGUAGCCGGCUCGGUAAGUCCCUCCUUAAAUCCACGGGCUCAACCCGUGGGCUGGGAGGGAUACUGCCGGGCUAGGGGGCGGGAGAGGCCGAGGGUACUCCCGGGGUAGGGGCGAAAUCCGUUAAUCCCGGGAGGACCACCAGUGGCGAAGGCGCUCGGCUGGAACGCGCCCGACGGUGAGGGACGAAAGCUGGGGGAGCAAAGGGGAUUAGAUACCCCCGUAGU